rnacentral:rRNA from 1 species
CAGCAGUAGCCACGGGAAUACGGAGGGUGCAAGCGUUAAUCGGAAUUACUGGGCGUAAAGCGCACGCAGGCGGUCUGACAAGUCAGAUGUGAAAUCCCCGGGCUUAACCUGGGAACUGCAUUUGAAACUGUCAGGCUGGAGUCUUGUAGAGGGGGGUGGAAUUCCAGGUGUAGCGGUGAAAUGCGUAGAGAUCUGGAGGAAUACCGGUGGCGAAGGCGGCCCCCUGGACAAAGACUGACGCUCAGGUGCGAAAGCGUGGGGAGCAAACAGGAUUAGAUACCCGCGUAGUCCCUGUCUCUUAUAC